rnacentral:rRNA from 1 species
UACGGGGGGGGUAAGCGUUGUUCGGAAUUACUGGGCGUAAAGGGCUCGUAGGCGGUCUGUCGCGUCGGUAGUGAAAACUCAGGGCUUAACCCUGAGCCUGCUUCCGAUACGGGCAGACUAGAGGUAUGCAGGGGAGAAUGGAAUUCCUGGUGUAGCGGUGAAAUGCGCAGAUAUCAGGAGGAACACCAGUGGCGAAGGCGAGUCCCUGGACAACACCUGACACUGAGGCACGAAAGCUAGGGGAGCAAACAGG